rnacentral:rRNA from 1 species
UACGUAGGCAGCGAGCGUUGUUCGGAAUUACUGGGCGUAAAGAGUGUGUAGGCGGCGCUCUAAGUUCGGCGUGAAAUCUCUCGGCUUAACCGGGAGGGUGCGGUGAAUACUGAGGGACUAGAGUACGGGAGAGGAAAGUGGAAUUCCUGGUGUAGCGGUGAAAUGCGUAGAUAUCAGGAGGAACACCGGUGGUGUAGACGGCUUUCUGGACCGUAACUGACGCUGAGACACGAAAGCGUGGGUAGCAAACAGG